CUCACUUCCAUAAAGAAGCACGCAGAGCCCGGCUGUGAAGAUAAUAUGGUUAGGCUACACUGCUUUAGAGACAGAGAGGAAGAAGGAAAACAACUCUUUGCCUUGGAUGCAAAUAAACUCAGCUUCACCUUUAAAGCUGAAAACCUGUGCCCUUGGCAAGACGUCUGGGGACCGUUCCAGAGCUUGACCAGCAGAAAGUAUUCCAUUUGCACGACGACACUGGAUUUGUGUGUGUGGGUCUUUAGCCAGAGUACUCCUCCUCGGUUUGGGCAGAAUUUUUUUAUAAGCCUAUUGGGUCUGUGGCGGGGGAGUGGCAGGAACAUCAGUGGCCUCUUCAACACUGGUCACGUUCCCCGUUAAUAUCCUGCAGAAAGGGCCACAGGCCAGGAGAGGGGAACCCCAGUCACGCUUGCCUGUCUUCUGUCCCUGGCUGUCAAAUGCCAGCUCCACGGGCAGCAACGAUGGCUCCCAAGCUUCCGCACCAAGGGCUCCCAGUAGGAGGGAGCGGUGCCUUAGCCAGAGGAAGGGCAACACCCGAGUUGAGCCUGCUUCUCAUAUUUCCCAAAUGGGUUGAAAGCCAAGCCAAGCAGCUCCAAGGAGACCAUGCAAGAGACCACAGUCGUGGAUCCAAAGACACAUCGACUCAUGCUCAUAGCUCAACAGCUCCCAUUUCAAACCUGGAAGCAGAGCCUGCCCCUGAAUCAUAAAGCCUCUAAAACUCUGGCUCAUCCAAGCAGGACUAGGAUUAGAACAGUCAGAGGAAACUUUCAAGAGGGAGUCAAAAGUAAAUCCUCACAUAGCAAUACCUUCCUCCUUCCUUCACAAAAGGUGACAGGAGAUUCUUCCUUCAGAAUUCCCACUAGAAGACUGAGGUGGAAUUUUCCAUCACCCCUGUGAGCCAUUACAUGUCCAGAAGUUGAGAAAGGACAAAAGCUAUUAACAUUUCCUAGCCUAAUAUUCUCCCUGGUGGCUCAGAUGGUAAAGAGUCUGCCUGCAAUGCAAGAGACCUGGGUUCGAUCCCUGGGUCAGGAAGAUCCCUGGAGAAAGAAAUAGCAGCCCACUUCAGCAUUCUUGCCUGGAGAAUUCCAUGGACAGAGGAGGCUGGUGGACUACAGUCCAUGGGGUCACAAAGAGUUGGACAUUACUGAGCAACUUUCACUUUCAGCCUGAUACUCUGUUUUCAUAUCAUGAAGCCCACAGGUUUGAUCUUUUUGUUUGUUGUAACAGACUUUGUGUUGGUGUCAGACUUUCUAAGAUGGUGUCAUGGGCAGCCCCCAACCAAACACUACAGGACUGUACAGUUAGUAAGGCCAGAGUGGGAUUCACAUCUUGCCUGUUGAAGUGGUUUUGCAUGGACAUCUCUGCAGGAAAGGACCUAUUUUUUGUCAUUUCCACGUAGAGGUAGGACUAGACCGCCAUGUUAUACAUUUAGUGGGCCUUCCCAGUGUGGUCUUUAUAAGAAAAGAAUGUCAAGAAGACCUCUUGAAAUAAAAACAAAAGAACAUUCCUCCAAGGGGGCUCAUUCCUGAUUCAGAAACAAACCAGGGAGAUCCUUAGGUCAGCUUAGAAAAGGACUUGAACAGAGUGACGCUGGAGACCUGGUCUGUUCUCAAGCAAAGACAAAAGCCAUUGCCCUGAGUCCUGCCAAGGGCCUUUUCUUCGUUUUAUUCCUGCUCCUAUGCAGCCCGAGUCUUCAGAACUCCCUCCCCUAUUUCCUGGUGGAGUCCCAUAAGUGUGUAUUGAAUAUUGACUGAAUCUUCCCUGAAUCUCCUUGCCCUGGGGCAAUUAGAGUUGAAUUAUAUACACCCAAGCUAGGCUACAAAUUAAAAAUUACUUUUCAUUUAUCUCUGUGAGAAGAAACCAGAAAUGAGCAAAUAUGAGAUUAAUAUAUGUGAAGGAGGAUACGGUUUCUGCUUUAUGUGGUGAUAAGCCCCUUUUUUCCUUUUCAUACUAAUUAUUAUUAUCAUUAUUAGUAUUAUUUUACCCCUCAAUUGCCUUAGGAUGUUAUCCAAGAGGAAGCACUGUAUCGGCUGGUGAAAGCUCCACAGUAUUAUUUAUUUCAUGUAAUAAAAUGUAUGUAAUGAUCAUGAU
ensembl:lincRNA